rnacentral:rRNA from 1 species
GACUAACGCUGGCGGCGUGCUUAACACAUGCAAGUCGAACGGAAAGGCCUGUCCUUCCUUGUGUUGGACGGGUACUCGAGUGGCGAACGGGUGAGUAACACGUGAGUGAUCUGCCCCCAACUUGGGUAUAAGCCUGGGAAACUGGGUCUAAUUCCCGAUAGGACUGCAGGGUGGUGCCUGUGGUGGAAAACGAUUUUCUAGUGGUUGGGGAUGAGCUCGCGGCCUAUCAGCUUGUUGGUGGGGUAAUGGCCUACCAAGGCGGCGACGGGUAGCCGGCCUGAGAGGGUGGACGGCCACAUUGGGACUGAGAUACGGCCCAGACUCCUACGGGAGGCAGCAGUGGGGAAUAUUGCACAAUGGGCGGAAGCCUGAUGCAGCGACGCCGCGUGGGGGAUGACGGCCUUCGGGUUGUAAACUCCUUUCGACCGCGAGGAAGCCGCCUGGUUGGAAGGGUGGUGACGGUAGUGGUAGAAGAAGCACCGGCUAACUACGUG